AUUGAAACACUGGUUCUCAUAUGAUCAUUGAAGUUAAGCAAUGUCAAACCUGGUCAGUACCUAAAUAGGUGACCACUUGGAAAUAGCAGGUGCUGUAAG